UCGCACGCGCUUAUUACCCUUCCCUCAAUCUCUCUCUAAGUGGGGACAAAACCCGUGGCUCCAUUUCCACCUUCUCUCUCUCUAGAGCCCUCCUUUCUCUCUCUAGAAGCCUCCCUCCCCGUGCGUUAUCUUCUCUGAAGAUCUGAUCCUGGUCCCUUCCUUUGCUCUCUAACCCUAGAUCCCCCCCCCCCAAUCGGAUCAAUCUCUUGAUCAUGGAUGUGAUUCUGCGUUCAGAUCCGCCUUCUCGCAUCUAUCCCGAACCCGAAACCCUAGAGAUCGACCACUUUGAUCGUCUCCCCGAUGCCAUCCUCCUCCUCGUCUUCAACAAGAUCGGCGACGUCAAGGCCCUCGGCCGCUGUUGCGUCGUCUCCAAGAGGUUCCAUUCCCUCGUUCCUCAGGUCGACAACGUCGUUGUCCGUGUUGAUUGUGUCAUCUCCGACGACGACUCCUCCUCCCCUUCGUCUGAUAAGCGCCGGUCCGUCACUGCCGUUGCCGCCGGCCCUGUUUCCGCCAUCUUUCGACUCGUCUUCGGUGGCAUUGUCAAGCCGAUCCAGGCAUUGGGGCAGUUCCUUGGCACCAAGCGCUCAUGCGCCACUGCUUCUUCCUCUUCUCUCUCCAUUAGUGGGGACGACGAUGGAGAGAUCGCACAAGGUGGCGUGACCCACCACUCUCCUACCCAGGUAUUGAAAAACUUCAAUGAGAUUCGCUACCUUCGCAUCGAGCUUCCCAGCGGUGAAUUGGGGAUAGACGACGGGGUUUUGUUGAAAUGGAGGGCGGAAUUUGGUUCCACCCUUGAUAAUUGUGUGAUUCUCGGUGCGUCAUCCGUGAUCCACACGAACCCGGACACAGCCAUCGAUCCGAGCGGCGCCGAAGAUAAUGGGAGUAUACCCGAGUCGUUUUACACAAACGGAGGGCUGAAACUGCGAGUGGUGUGGACAAUAAGCUCCUUGAUUGCUGCAUCGGCACGACACUAUUUGCUGCAACCAAUAAUUGCGGAGCAUAAGACGCUUGGUAAUCUACUGCUCACUGACGCCGAUGGCCAAGGAGUGCUUUGUAUGAACAAGGACCAGCUGGAGGAGCUGAGGAUUAAACCCUUGUCAGCUUCUUCGGCUUCAAAGAGGACCCUUGUACCGGCAUUGAACAUGAGGCUGUGGUAUGCUCCACACUUGGAAUUACCUGAUGGCACAGUGUUAAAUGGCGCUACUUUGGUGGCGAUAAGGCCAAGCGAGUCGAAAAAGGAGGCAUGUGAUGUGUCUUGGGUAUCCUCUGCGUUCGAGGAGCCUUACAGGACAGCUGCGAAGAUGUUGGUCAAGAGAAGGACUUACUGUCUUGAGAUGAACUCGUUCUAGCUGAGGGUUUCAGUCGGAUCUGAAAUGAAUGGGUACUGAUUUCAGAUGAAAAACUCUGGAGUCUGGAUCUUUAUUUGAUUAGCUUUGUCCCUGCACACAAGAAAAACUCGAACUUUAUCCAGGCUGCAAAAGGGAGAUGGAUGCAUAGUAUAAGCACAAGAAAUGGAGAAUCAAGGAAAGAAAAGUUUUGGGAAUCAGGAAAACCAGUUUUGCAUUGCCUGUUCUGACUAAUCUGGGAUUUUGGUAUGGGCCUAGUGCCUGUUCUUGGUCAAAAUCUCUGCAACUUGUAGCUUCUACCAAUGCUGUGAUCGGACACUCCAGACCGCAUCUGCUGGCUGUUUUUCUUUCAGGAAAAUGCUUUGUAUAACAGCUCGAAACAUCCACAACGACGACGAAUAUCUUAAGAUCCUCUUCUGUCUUGUAGUUAGUUAAAUCUUCAUGUCCCCUUCUUCUUCUUCCUCUUUGUUCUUUUGAAUGUGAAUAUGGUAGCUACAAGAAACAUUUGUUUAUCCCUGUAUUACAUACUUCUUUAAGUUAAAAACUGAAACAAUGUAGUCCUUGCUAGUGUCUUUAGCAUAAAACAGUUGUUAUUGUGUUCAAUGAAUGGCGAAGUAAUUAAAGCCUUUGUGUU